UUGUCUCUCUUGAGUGGAUCCUGAGUACGACGGAGCACGUGAAAUUCCGUCGGAAUCUGGGAGGACCAUCUCCUAAGGCUAAAUACUCUCUAGUGACCGAUAGUGAACCAGUACCGUGAGGGAAAGGUGAAAAGCACCCCGGAAGGGGAGUGAAAUAGAACCUGAAACCGUGUGCUUACAAGUAGUCAGAGCCCGUUAAUGGGUGAUGGCGUGCCUUUUGUAGAAUGAACCGGCGAGUUACGAUUUGAUGCAAGGUUAAGCAGUAAAUGUGGAGCCGUAGCGAAAGCGAGUCUGAAUAGGGCGUUUAGUAUUUGGUCGUAGACCCGAAACCAGGUGAUCUACCCUUGGUCAGGUUGAAGUUCAGGUAACACUGAAUGGAGGACCGAACCGACUUACGUUGAAAAGUGAGCGGAUGAACUGAGGGUAGCGGAGAAAUUCCAAUCGAACCUGGAGAUAGCUGGUUCUCUCCGAAAUAGCUUUAGGGCUAGCCUCAAGUGAUGAUUAUUGGAGGUAGAGCACUGUUUGGACGAGGGGCCCCUCUCGGGUUACCGAAUUCAGACAAACUCCGAAUGCCAAUUAAUUUAACUUGGGAGUCAGAACAUGGGUGAUAAGGUCCGUGUUCGAA
rnacentral:rRNA from 1 species